rnacentral:rRNA from 1 species
GACGUAGGGCGCGAGCGUUGUCCGGAUUUAUUGGGCGUAAAGAGCGUGUAGGCGGCCAGGUAGGUCUGCUGUGAAAACUCGAGGCUCAACCUCGAGACGUCGGCGGAAACCAUCUGGCUAGAGUCCGGAAGAGGAGAGUGGAAUUCCUGGUGUAGCGGUGAAAUGCGCAGAUAUCAGGAAGAACACCCGUGGCGAAGGCGGCUCUCUGGGAUGGUACUGACGCUGAGACGCGAAAGCGUGGGGAGCGAACAGG